rnacentral:lncRNA from 1 species
AAACCUUCUACAUGUCCUCUUGCCUUUUUUGGCUCUCCACCUGUUAAGGUGAACCGGCCUCUUUCAAACCACCACAACCCCUUACUUGUUCUCCUCCUUGUUGUACUUUGUAUCAACAAUUGGUGUAAUGAGCAUGGAUUGAACCAUGACUUUCUCUUAGAACAAUGCUCCUCUCAACCCAAAAAACCCAACUAACUCCACCAACCCAGUGAACUCCUUUGCAUCGAUGAACCCCAUCAACCUCAUCGCCCUUGAGCUCUAUUGAAACCAAAACCAUGUUGCCUCAACUCAACGCUUUACUGGUUCCUUCCAACCUUCGUUCCUAUUCUCUCGACAUUCUCCUACGAUGCUAUCAAUUUCUCAACCUU